UGGUCCAUUUAGAGGAAGUAAAAAGUCGUAACAAGGUUUCCCGUAGGUAAAAAUCGCUUGGUUUGCCUGUCGAAUCCCCCNGGCAGCGACUCUAAAGAACUGCUGUCCCAGUUGGUCCUCCCGGGCCGGCAACGCGAUCAAUCUGGGCUGGGAACGCUUCUCCGGGCGUGACCAGCAGCUCCUUUCAAGAGUUCACAGAUCAAACGGUUGCGGCCACUUCGGUGGUUCAGAUAUGAUCGGCCCCGGCUUGAUCUCGGCCGGUGACUUCGCGGAACCUGCGGAAGGAUCAUUA
rnacentral:rRNA from 1 species